AUAUUAUUCUUUCAUUAUUUACUCACUACCCAUACCUUCUCCUUUCCCUAUUUAUUCAAUUCAAGCAACCACUUUCACAUUACAUAUGAACAAGUAAGAGGAAACACUUGAAGUAGUUAAAUUUAACUCUUUGGGACAGUUCAAUUAAGAAAGCAAGCUUACUGAAACAAAGAUGGAAGUGAUAGAAGAUGACCUUUUCUUUGCAGACUUGAGUAAGAGGAUCUCCCUUCUGAUCAUGGAUGAUGAUGAAGACCCUACUCUUCACUGCCCUCCUGUUUCCUUCCAGGUCAUCUCUCAAACAAUUCAUCCAAUCCAUCACCAAGUACCAAGUUUGCAUGACCAAAAUGGUAGACGAGAAAUCAAAGGAACGGGCGUGUUCAUCCCACAAUCAUCCACUAAUCGAAGGAGUAAGCAUUCAAGAUCCAAGUCUUCCAACACAAGGAUUCAAACUCAAAGACAUGUUGAUCAUGCUUCAAGUGGACACUUUCCUCAUGAACCCUACCAUAAUCACAAAAAUUCUACUAACCCUAAUUCUUACAAUUCUUUGAAUCACAAAAGAUGCUACUAAAAACCCACUCAAUUAGCUAUAGUACAAUAAACUUCUAAUACAAUUGGAUGUAUAAGCUCAAUUCGUCUGAUUAAUAUGUAAGUGUGUAUUUAAUUUCAUUUCAUUUCAUUUCUGCAUCGAUUUUUUUGUGGGUAUGAAAGCGUACGAGAGUGAUUCUUGUGAGUACUGAAAUUUAAUUUCAUUUGGUAGAUAAUGAAGAGACGUGUUUGA